UAUCAGAAUGGAAGUUUACAUCUCACUCACGCAACAGUCUGCUCCAGAUCUGGGCAGUACUCAAGGGCAGCUGUCUGCCAUUCCAUUUGGGGUCUUGGAGAUCCAGGCAACUUCAAACUUGAGGCUCUACUUUCUAAGGAAAAAUGAUUUUUCUCUGACUUCCAUGGCAGAAGAGAAAGAUUAGAAAUUUAAUAGGGACAUAUGCCUCAUCCUGAUCUGUGCUGUUCAUAUUUCACUGGCCAUAACUAAUCAUAGGGUUCUAGAUAGCAAGAUUGGAAGCUCAGCCUUCCAUGUGCCUGGGAAAGACAGGGGAAUGACUGGUGAACCGCUUAGCCCAGGGAUUAUAUCAUAAUCAUUUUUCUAUCCCCCAUACUUGGCACAGGGCUUGACAAUAAUCGCCAAUAAAUGUUUCAUAAAUGGAAUCUUAUCUAGAUCAAAUUUGCAUCAAAAGGUGAGGCUCUUCUAAAGGAAAGGGAGCUUCCGCAAAUGAUUCAAGGAGAUAAUUACAGAACUAGGACAAGAAUCUAAGUCUAUUCCCCCUUUCACUACACUUGUUCCUGAAGGAAUUUGUUAUAAAAGAAUUGUAUGCUUUUUCUGGGUUGAGCAUUAUUUCUGCUAAGACGCCUCCUCAGACGAAUAGACAUAGAGAUUGCUGGUGGUGGCCUGUGUCUGAUCUCUAGUUGAUGGAAUAUGAACAGAAGCCAUGGACACCCCUUCCACAUCUGGCCAUGUCAUACCAUCUUCCUGGCCCACAGCAAACCAAUAGACUACUGUCACCACUGCCACCACCACCAAAACAGACCUCAAGCUCAAACCUACUAUCAACAUUACAUCCAACUUUAAAGCUGGGCAAAGGAGCCAUCCAGCAUUCUUCUGAUAACCUCAAUUAGCUUAGAUUUGAGAGUACAAAUUGAAAUGAGAAAAGAAAUGCUUGAGCUGCUGGGAAGUGGCACUGACAUUACUGAGACUCUUUGGUGCUUUAAUUGUGCUGGGAAAAAAUACUAAUGGGGUCAAACAAUUGAAGGCUCAAUGAGAUGAAAACAACUGGGAGCAAGAAGGGAAAGAGGGGCGCGGGAGGCUGAGAGGUUAAUAUCAACUUCUGUCUAAUUUCGGAUUUGGAUUAAAAAACAGAGAAGCUCAAACCUGCUCAAAUCGUGCUGCCAUCUGUGACUCUGAUGUGGCAUUUGGAAGAGUAAAAACACAUGCUGGAAAAUUACCAAGACAAAGAAAAGUUCUGGAAUCUCGGCCCAGGAUUUUCCUUUGUGGCUAAAAGGCUGAGCUACUUUGGAAACAUUUGGAUUCCGUUUCUGUUUUAUCUGAGCCGCAAAGUAUCUCUUUCAAAGCACAGACAUUGGAUUCUAUAUAAGGAGGAACCUUUGUGAGUUAAUCCGACAUCAUUUUCCAGGCUUGUCUAGGAGUUACAUCAUUAAUAAAUGUGUUGGUAGUUAUCGAUUAUCUAACA
rnacentral:lncRNA from 1 species